AACGAACGCUGGCGGCAUGCCUAACACAUGCAAGUCGAACGGGAUCCUAGCUUGCUAGGUGAGAGUGGCGGACGGGUGAGUAACACGUGGGAAUCUGCCUUUUGGUUCGGGAUAACCGCGGGAAACUGCGGCUAAUACCGAAUGCCCUCGAGAGAGGAAAGAUUUAUCGCCAGAAGAGGAGCCCGCGUCCGAUUAGGUAGUUGGUGGGGUAAAAGGCCUACCAAGCCGACGAUCGGUAGCUGGUCUGAGAGGAUGAUCAGCCACACUGGGACUGAGAUACGGCCCAGACUCCUACGGAGGCAGCAGUGGGGAAUAUUGGACAAUGGGGCAACCCUGAUCCAGCAAUGCCGCGUGAGUGAU
rnacentral:rRNA from 1 species